GAUAAACCUCUACUCCGACUACGACUCCGGCUCCUGCUCUGGCUGGGACUGCAUCUUUUUGGACUUUUACUCAGACGUUUUGGGCGCUGCAAUUAACCAGUUGAGAAUAAAACAAAGAAAUGUAGCCAAAGAAAGAGAAAUUCCAAUUUUAAAAGGCCAGGUAUGCAAAAAACAAUGACGUAGUAAGACAAGACGGAUGAUCCCGACAUGUUUGAUUUUGAGGUAUCCAGUUCACUUCCAAAACAGAGAUUUAACUUACAGAUGGUGCUGGCGAUCUGGACCUUGCUGGAGAUCUGCAAAAUUUCCAGAAAGAACUUAAUUUAAUAUCCCAGUCCUGCCACUUAACAAUUCCUCCAACUGCCUCGAUUCCACUUCCACAUCAGCAUGACCAUUAUCAAAGUAGCAUUGUGGGCAGAAUCCAGAGUGGAAAAUAUGACAUGUAUGAAGCAAUGCAAUUUACCCAGUUAAGACUUAAGUAAUAGUUUAAAUUUGUGCAGUCAAAGAGACCAAUAAGCAGGAUAUGAAAAGAAUGAACUAGAGUCUUUCUUCACUUUGGUAGAAAAUGCAUCUACCACAAAUAGGUGGUGAUCCAAAUUCAGGUGGCAGUUAGUUCCCCAGUCCAGCUCCACCACAGAAUCCACGAUCUUCAUGAUCCCAAUCUAGCACCCACGGAACAUUUCACGAUGCUCAUUAGAUCAGAGACAUCAUAAAGGACCCAAAGUUGCCAUCUAGAAAACAUCGUACCAAUGAAAAGAAUGAACUAGAGUCUUUCUUCACUUUGGUAGAAAAUGCAUCUACCACAAAUAGGUGGUGAUCCAAAUUCAGGUGGCAGUUAGUUCCCCAGUCCAGCUCCACCAUAGAAUCCAUGAUCUUCAUGAUCCCAAUCUAGCACCCACGGAACAUUUCACGAUGCUCAUUAGAACAGAGACAUCAUAAAGGACCCAAAGUUGCCAUCUAGAAAACAUCGUACCUCCACAACCAAAAAGAGUUGCAGGCAAGACCAUAUGCAUAUCCACUCAAGAUCCUAAAAUGCAAAUCCACAAACUGCCGCAUAUAUCCAACAUCUAUAAAAACAAACAAGGUGACUUUUCAUACUUAUAAAGGAAAUGACAAUGCAGUACGUUUUCCCUAGAACACAGUUCCAAGUUGAAUUAAAGCAAAUGAACCAACUAUCCCCUCAAAACACCUAAAAGCCUUUUAAAUUUCUUUUUUGCUCAGCCCCAAACCUUUUCAAUUUCUAGUUUUGCUUGAACAGACAUACACUAUCAUAGUGACCAGUCUCUACUGAACGGUUACACAUCGAAUUGGCAAGCAUAGUAAGAAAAUUCAGAAAUAGCAGGAAAUAAAUGAAUAUGAAUCCUAUUUUCAUAGGGGCAAGAAAAGGAAAAAGUUUAACAUAUGUAAUGUCCGUCCUCAUUUGGUUCAUUUUAAUGGUUUGAUAAUGCCAUUGCAAGUACUAAACCCCACACAAAUGUAACUAUUCAUUCCCACCAAGUAAGCAGAACUACACAUUACCAGACUAGAUUGCCCCAUGAAAUGCAACCUUUGCAAAAAAAAUGGCCUAUGGGCUACGACAACUUACCAUUCGCCCGACGUACCACCAUUUGACAAAUUACCAGAAGACUCGUACUGAUACUGAAAGGACAAUGUAACUCAACACUUAAAAUUGGAUUCGGCAGUUUUAUGCAUGACGUGCGAGACAACAGCUUCUCGCUGCUAUAUUUUUCAGAAAGACAAAAGGAGAGGCCAUUGAGAACCAGUUAACCAAAGAAGACUAGAGCAUCAAGAGUCAAUAUCAAGGUGAGUUUUUCAGUGAGCACAUCAAACUAACAGGAUAGAAGACAAAGGGCAAAGUGCAUCAAACUGCAAGAGCACUUCAGAUUCAAAGAUCUUACAUCAACGACAAUUCCAGUGUGAAAGAACUUUGAAAAUUGAAAAUAUUCUAAUCAACGAAUAAUGAAUAAAAGACUUGCAAGAAAAGGAAGGUUAGCAGAAUAUUACCUAGAGAUAGAACGUCC
rnacentral:lncRNA from 1 species